AGAGUUUGAUUAUGGCUCAGGAUGAACGCUGGCGGCGUGCUUAACACAUGCAAGUCGAACGGAGUUUUUAAACGGAAGUUUUCGGAUGGAAGUUUAGAAACUUAGUGGCGGACGGGUGAGUAACGCGUGGGUAACCUGCCUCAUACAGGGGGAUAACAGUUAGAAAUGACUGCUAACACCGCAUAAUAUAGCGAAACCGCAUGAUUUUGCUAUCAAAUAUUUAUAGGUAUGAGAUGGGCCCGCGUCUGAUUAGCUAGUUGGUGGGGUAAAAGCCUACCAAGGCGACGAUCAGUAGCCGGCUUGAGAGAGUGACCGGCCACAUUGGGACUGAGACACGGCCCAAACUCCUACGGGAGGCAGCAGUGGGGAAUAUUGGACAAUGGGGGAAACCCUGAUCCAGCGAACCGCCGCGUGAGUGAAGAAGUAUUUCGGUAUGUAAAGCUCUAUCAGCAGGGAAGAUAAUGACAGUACCUGACUAAGAAGCCCCGGCUAACUACGUGCCAGCCGCUGC
rnacentral:rRNA from 1 species